rfam:Schistosoma rodhaini strain Burundi genome assembly, scaffold: SROB_scaffold0004917
AUCCAGCUGAUGAGUCCCAAAUAGGACAAAGGGACGCGCGUUCUGUAU